CCUACGGGAGGCAGCAGUGAGGAAUAUUGGUCAAUGGUCGGGAGACUGAACCAGCCAAGCCGCGUGAGGGAUGAAGGUACAGAGUAUCGUAAACCUCUUUUGUCAGGGAACAAAGGCGGGGACGUGUCCCCGGCUGAGUGUACCUGAAGAAAAAGCAUCGGCUAACUCCGUGCCAGCAGCCGCGGUAAUACGGAGGAUGCGAGCGUUAUCCGGAUUUAUUGGGUUUAAAGGGUGCGCAGGCGGUCUGUUAAGUCAGCGGUCAAAGCCCGGGGCUCAACCCCGGCCCGCCGUUGAAACUGGCAGUCUCGAGUUGGAGAGAAGUAGGCGGAAUGCGCGGUGUAGCGGUGAAAUGCAUAGAUAUCGCGCAGAACUCCGAUUGCGAAGGCAGCAUGCCGGCUCCACACUGACGCUGAGGCACGAAAGCGUGGGUAUCGAACAGGAUUAGAUACCCUGGUAGUC
rnacentral:rRNA from 1 species